UGUUUUAGUGGUGCAUGGAGACGUUUUCGUACAGGAAGAUCGUCUGAUUGUACUUUCUACCAUAGCACAUUGAAAAUAUUAACAUUCUGAUUUUCCUUGACGAAACGUCUCCAUGUCCUUCUCGAACA